rnacentral:rRNA from 1 species
CGUAGGGUGCGAGCGUUAAUCGGAAUUACUGGGCGUAAAGCGUGCGCAGGCGGUUUAGUAGGACAGGCGUGAAAUCCCCGGGCUCAACCUGGGAACUGCGCUUGUGACUGCUAAGCUAGAGUACGGCAGAGGGGGGUGGAAUUCCACGUGUAGCAGUGAAAUGCGUAGAGAUGUGGAGGAACACCAAUGGCGAAGGCAGCCCCCUGGGUCGAUACUGACGCUCAUGCACGAGAGCGUGGGUAGCAAACAGGAUUAGAUACCCUGGUAGUCCACGCCCUAAACGAUGUCAACUAGGUGUUGGGAGGGUAAAACCUUUUAGUACCGGAGCUAACGCGUGAAGUUGACCGCCUGGGGAGUACGGCCGCAAGGUUA